rnacentral:misc_RNA from 1 species
ACCCACAAGCUGAAGCAAAGCUUUAAUAGCUCCAGAAUCAAUUACUCUGGGGAUACUAUCACUGAAGGCCAACAUCAGACGGGCCAAGAGAGAAGCUGCAUUGGACUGGGCAGCAGCAUUAUCAGAGGAUAAAAAACCGACAAUCAUAUCCACUCCUCCAGCCUCAAGUGUUGCUCUCCAAUAAUCAUCUUUGUCACCACAAAGGUUUCUCAAGGCCCCAGUAACAAAA